AUUGAACGCUGGCGGCAGGCCUCAUACAUGCAAGUUGAACGAGAAAGUAUCUUCGGAUGCGAGUACAGUGGCGGACGGGUGAGUAAUACAUAGGAAUCUACCCAAUGGAGGGGGAUAGCUCGAGGAAACUCGAAUUAAUACCGCAUAAUCUCCACGGAGUAAAGAGGGCUUCGGCUCUCGCCAUCGGAUGAGCCUAUGCAAGAUUAGCUUGUUGGUAAGGUAAUGGCUUACCAAGGCUACGAUCUUUAGCUGGUUUGAGAGGACGACCAGCCACAUCGGGACUGAGACACGGCCCGGACUUCUACGGAAGGCAGCAGUAGGGAAUAUUGGACAAUGAGCGAAAGCUUGAUCCAGCCAUGCCGCGUGUGCGAUGAAGACCUUAGGGUUGUAAAGCACUUUAGGUUAUGAGAAAAGAUUUGGUAUUAAUACCACCAAAUUUUGAUGUUAAUUUCAGAAUAAGCACCGGCUAAAUCCGUGCCAGCCGCCGCCGUAACAC
rnacentral:rRNA from 1 species